GACGAACGCUGGCGGCGUGCUUAACACAUGCAAGUCGAACGGAAGGGCCCUGCUUUUGUGGGGUGCUCGAGUGGCGAACGGGUGAGUAACACGUGAGUAACCUGCCCUUGACUUUGGGAUAACUUCAGGAAACUGGGGCUAAUACCGGAUAGGAGCUCCUGUUGCAUGGUGGGGGUUGGAAAGUUUCGGCGGUUGGGGAUGGACUCGCGGCUUAUCAGCUUGUUGGUGGGGUAGUGGCUUACCAAGGCUUUGACGGGUAGCCGGCCUGAGAGGGUGACCGGCCACAUUGGGACUGAGAUACGGCCCAGACUCCUACGGGAGGCAGCAGUGGGGAAUAUUGCACAAUGGGCGGAAGCCUGAUGCAGCAACGCCGCGUGCGGGAUGACGGCCUUCGGGUUGUAAACCGCUUUCGCCUGUGACGAAGCGUGAGUGACGGUAAUGGGUAAAGAAGCACCGGCUAACUACGUG
rnacentral:rRNA from 1 species